GAUCCCUGGCUGGCUCAGUGGGUAGAGCAUGUGACUCUUGGUCUCAGGUUCAUGAGUUCAAGCCCCGUGUAGGGCAUGGAGUAAAGGUAUUUUUUAAGAGGCUGAGGACAAAAGAAUGAACAAGAAUGGGGGUCCCUGGGUGGCUCAGUGAGUUAAGCUUCGGACUUCCCGUCAGGUCAAGAUCUCAUGGUUAGUGGGAUCCAGGCCCCAGACCUACCUGCUCAGGAUUCACUCUCUCCUGCUCUACGCCCCUUCCCUGCUCAUUCUCUCUGUCUCUGUCUCUCCCCCAAAAUAAACAAAUAAGCUUCAAAACAAAACAACAAGAAAACAUGGUUUAAAAGGAGAGCACCCUCAAGGCAGGGGACUGGAGCCAGGUGGGUCAAACUCUUCCUUCUUGCUGAUGUUAAGGGGGGAAGGAGAUGAGUUUGUGCAGACUUUGCACAUGUCGGAGAGAGAAAACCAAAGAAGAACGUGUCCAAAUUCCCUGCGCCCUGGACGCGUGGAAAUGGGAGAGGCAAGUUCUCCACUCAGCACGACGGGGAAUCAAAUCUUUCAGAAGUUCAUGGAUUUUAAUAGUGGAUUCUAAACCGUGUGUAACGUUUAAAAAUGAGCUCAUUCUUUAUUUGUAUUACUUUUUGUACAAGAGUUUUAAAGAAAGAAAAUUAUAGGCUGAACAUUCUAUUUGGCUUUAUAUAUGACUUGCUAUGUAUGAUAUAUAUUUAUGACCGGACAGAUUUGUUCCUCCUGGUUGUGCAUUGCCUGGUGAUGGUGAAGAUCCCGUGUUUAGGUACCGGUAUUUGUGAUGGACGCUGUUCUGUGCUCGUUCACUUCCCGACACUACAUUUUCCUGACAUUCCUGAGUUUUUCGUCCGUUCUGCAGAGGGAGACGCGAUGGCUGGGACGGCAGGCUCCACGCACCCGGGCGCCGCUGACUCCCAGCCGGUCGCGUCUAGGGGACGGAAUGGCGGAGGCCCGAGCCGCAGGCCCCAGUGGCCUAAUGGAUAAGGCACUGGCCUCCUAAGCCAGGGAUUGUGGGUUCGAGUCCCACCUGGGGUAAGGGCCCCUUUUUGGCUCUCUCGGCGCCUCGUGCUUUACGCACCCUGGAAUCCACGCCCCCGCGGCACGGACGCAUGAAAAAGCCUGGAGAAGACCAUCCCGCAACUUUUGUACAGCCCACGGGAGGACGGUAUGGAGGCGCAUUUGGCUUGGAGGCUUAAAGGGGGUGUAGAGUGUUUCUGAGGAGGGCGAGGGGUUGACGGAGCGCGGCGACGCAGGCCGCACCGACCCUCGGAUCCCAGCCCUGGAAAACUGCGUGGCAGGAGAAGAUUUAAGUAAUCUGUACACCCAACGUGGGGCGCGAACUCACAACUCCGAGAUCAAGAGUUGCACCCUCUACAGACUGAGCCAGCCAAGCACUCCGUGGAUGUUACUUUUAAGCUAUCUCUGGCUCCCAGGCCCUUCCACGUGGCUGCAACAUCAUGGCCCUAGACUGUACCGCUGGAGCCACUGCUUUCUCGCUCGGUUUCAGGCUUCACUUCUAAAACCAUCCUCAGGACCCUGACUCCAUGCAGCUUACAUUCCAGUGAGAGAGAAGGCAGCAAACAAGUAAACUGAUGAAUAGGAUGGUUUCAAAAUAAAAGGGGUGAUGGGGGACACUUGGUUGAGUAACUCAGAGAAGGCCUCCGGGUAGAGAACAGCAAGGGCAUCAUUGGCAAUCCUGUCACCUUCAGGGGACUUCUUUAAUGUCUUGGCUGAUACACUGUCCACCUCACAGGGUUGUUGUGGGGAGUAAAUGAGAUGAUAUUCAUGUAAAGUGAGUAGAACGAUGCCUGGAGCACAAUAUGUGCUCUAUAAGUCUUGAUUGUCACCAUUUACUAACAGACUACUUUGCCCCAUUAUUCAAGGUUUAUAUGUGAUAGGAUAUUCUCUCAGCUAGAUGUGAAUCCCUGAAAGCUCAAAUUUCAUCUUUUCUUUUCCUUCAUUCAUUAUGAAUUCAUAUGAAGAUUCUUCUGAAUGCCAAGCACAGUGCUAAGCCCUGGGGAAUAUAGAUAUGACUAAGGUAUAAUGCUAGCACUCAACAAAGAAUCUUCUAGAAUCCUCUAGAUCUUUCUAAUCCUCUAGGAUUGAACAUUUCUAUGAAAUGUUUGCAUUAUUUUUAUCUUCCAACACUCUGUAAUCACUUGGUUUUUCAUUGGAAUUCAUGAAAACGAGGAGUUUCUUACCAA